rnacentral:rRNA from 1 species
CCUACGGGGGGCAGCAGUGAGGAAUAUUGGUCAAUGGACGAGAGUCUGAACCAGCCAAGUAGCGUGAAGGAUGACUGCCCUAUGGGUUGUAAACUUCGUUUAUAUGGGAAUAAAACGUUCCACGUGUGGGAUUUUGUAUGUACCGUAUGAAUAAGGAUCGGCUAACUCCGUGCCAGCAGCCGCGGUAAUACGGAGGAUCCGAGCGUUAUCCGGAUUUAUUGGGUUUAAAGGGAGCGUAGGUGGAUUGUUAAGUCAGUUGUGAAAGUUUGCGGCUCAACCGUAAAAUUGCAGUUGAAACUGGCAGUCUUGAGUACAGUAGAGGUGGGCGGAAUUCGUGGUGUAGCGGUGAAAUGCUUAGAUAUCACGAAGAACUCCGAUUGCGAAGGCAGUUCACUGGACUGCAACUGACACUGAGGCUCGAAAGUGUGGGUAUCAAACAGGAUUAGAUACCCCUGUAGUC